CUGCUCGCGGCCGGCCCGGCGCGGCGGAUGCGCUCCCCGCCCCGCAGCCCGGCAUGGCCGUCGUGCCCGGGCUCUAGCGCAGCGUGUCCCGCAGCCAUGGCCGAGUGGGCUCCGGCGCAGGUGCAGGUGCAGGAGUGGAACGUGGAGGCGCAGCAUCUCAUGGCCCUGCAGCCGCCCCUGCUGCCCGAGCGGGCGCACGUGCGGGAAGCCCAGCUGCACACGGCCGAGGCGUCCCUCUGGACCGUGGUGGCCACCGUGCAGGCCCUGGAGAGGAAGAUCGACGUGCUGGCCGCGCGCCUGCUGAGCCUGGAGGGGCGGUCGGGCACGGCCGAGAAGAAGAUCGUCGACUGCGAGAAGACCGCCAUGGAGUUCAACAACCAGCUGGAGAGCAAGUGGGCCGUGCUGGGCACCCUGAUCCAGGAGUACGGGCUGCUGCAGCGGCGCCUGGAGAACAUGGAGAACCUGCUCAAGAACAGGAACUUCUGGGUCCUGCGCCUGCCGCCUGGCGCCAAGGGCGAAGUGCCCAAGAUGCCCGUGACGUUUGUGGACGUCGCUGUCUAUUUCUCGGCGGAGGAGUGGAAGAACCUGGAGGAGUGGCAGAAGGAGCUGUAUAACAACCUGGUGAAGGAGAACUACGAGUCCUUGAUCUCGCUGGGCAGCUCCCUUUCCAAAGCCGACGCGCAGCCGAGGCCGGAGCGAGGGGUGGAGCCGUGCAUCCCACAGCAGCCGGAGCUGGAGCAGAGACCCAUCCCUGUGGACCAUUGUCCAGACCCCCUGGUCUCGACACCUGAUAUCCUAUCGCGGAUCAAACAGGAGGCGGCCUUUGUUGCGGAGCAUCAGUUCCCAGAGGACAGAGGACUCCCCCCCGACCCCUGUGCAGGAGCUGAUGCUCUGAUUUCUGCACACGACUUCUUAUCCUGGAUCAAGCAAGAGGAGGAGCCAUGUGUCAGGGAGCCGUGGGAGCUGGCUGAGAGAGAGAUCCUGACGGGUCCCGUCCCAGGCAACGGGCUCAUGGUGAAGGCGGAGGAGAUGCGGCACCGCCAGGAGGCCCCGUGCGACCUGGGGCUGCCGCCGGGGACCUGCGGAGAUGCCCUGUUCCCCGGCUCAGCCUACGCCAGCCAGGAGGCCCCGGGCUUGCCACCGGCUCCUCCUGCCGAAUGCAGACUGGGUAAAUCUCUCCCCUUGGCCAGUGGGACAAGCGAGUUCCCAGGCACCCCCGCCGCUCGGGGCACAGGCGCGGCAGGGGUGGAGCGGCCGCACAGCUGCAACGAGUGCGGGAAGACCUUUAGCGUGAAGAAGAGCCUGCGCAUCCACCAGCGGAGCCACGCCAAGGAGCGCCCCUACGAGUGCACAGAGUGCGGCAGGAGCUUCAAUUGCCACUCGGGGCUGGUGCGGCACCAGAUGAUCCACCGCGGCGAGAGGCCCUACCAGUGCGGGGACUGCGGCAAGCGCUACAGCCGCAAGGAGCACCUGCAGAACCACCAGCGCCUGCACACGGGGGAGCGCCCCUUCCAGUGCGCCGCCUGCGGCAAGAGCUUCAUCCGCAAGCAGAACCUCCUCAAGCACCAGCGCAUCCACACGGAUGGUGCCAUCCCCAAGCCUUGUCUCCUGCCCUGGACGGAAAGCAGGGAAGAGCCGCGUGUCGGGGACCGGGGGGGCUUAGCAGAGAGAGAGACAGAGAACACUGCACGACCCAGAACAGACCCUCUGAUUUCCAUAGCCGGCGUCCCGUCCCAGAGAGAGCCAGGGGAGGAGGAACGUGCCGGGAAUCCACAGCACCCGCAGGAACGGGAUGUGUCGGCUCUUGGUGCCGACUUCAUUGGCCACCUGUCGUGGAGGACCCACAUCCCUUGCCCUCUUUGGGCUUCUGGAUGUAAUCCCUACCAGCUUGCCCUGAACUGGGACAGCAACGAUCUCAGGAAACUUCUUGCAUCACUUCUAUUGUUUGGGAUCCACCGUCUUCCUACACAGAUGCAAUUCAAUAUAGCAUUCUGCAAAUGCUUCUGAAGGCUCAACUCUUCUACUCCUGGAAGGAAAGUACUCCUGGAAGGAAAGGAGGCUUCCCCGUGGCUCCAGGGGAACAAGGACUGGGCCGUGUGCCAUGGAUCAGAGGCAGAAUCACUCAAGAGGAUUAUCUGACUCCCCUGAAGACAGAGGAGAAGAGGUGCCUGCCAGUGGAGAGGGAGGACCCCCGGGCAGCAGCGUUUUCUGGAGGGGAAGCCCACCGCCUGAGAGGAGCCCAGAGUGCCCGUGCAGGUCUCGCCCUCUCCCUCAUCUGGAGGAGGGCAAAGGGCCCUUCACGUGCCAGGGCUGUGGCAAGGGCUUCCAGCAUCAAGUCACGCUCAAGAUCCACCAGCGCACGCACACAGGGGAGAGGCCCUACUCGUGCGGUCAGUGCGGGGAGCACUUCUGCUACCAGCAGCAUCACAAGGUGCACGUGCAGGUGCACCAGGGCUGGAUGGUCUAUGCCUGCAGCAAGGGCUUCACCAUGGAGGGCGACCUCACGCGCCACUGGCGCACACGCACCGGUGAACGCCACUACCCCUGCCCCGACUGCGGCAAGCGCUUCAUCUCCAGCUCCAAGGUGUGGGAACACCAGCACAGCCGCACUGGCAAGCGCCUCUACCCCUGUGCCAUCUGCAGCAAGGCCUUCAUGCACCAAAAGCCCCUCACUGUGCACCAGCACAAGCAUCAUGCCCCUGAGCUGGUGCAAGAGCCUGUGUGGGCCCAGCCCUGCUCCACCAGCCCAACACGGAGGCCAGUGCAGCCCCGAGCUGCCAGUGCGGGACUGGCCACAAGACUCAGAAGCCCCCAGGGAGGCAGCACUGGAAAGCAGCCACAUCCAUGUGCUCAGCGCAGCUCGGGCAUCACGACCAUGGUUAGGAGAACCAGCCAGAGCUGAGCCGAAGCCUCCUGACCCCCGGGAACGGGCUUCAAGUCCAAAAGGGUUUGUUAUAAAGAGGCAGUAGCUGACUGUUCCCUGUGGCCUCUGGGGACAGGGCGAGAAGUUGGGGGCUGAAACUGAGGGAUGGGCCCCGGGGCCCGGUCCUGGCAUGUGGGACUUCAUCCAGCCCAGUCCCGCUCCUCUGGCCUGUGCAGCCAAAAGGUUGAGCACCAAUGAAUUAGACAAACUGGUUUCUCGUCAGGGAUGACCCUAAGCAGAGCAGGGGGUUGGACUAGAUGUGACCUCCAGCCCUGUCUUUGGGAUCAUAGGAAAGCUGGGCUAGAAGGGACCUCGCAAGGUCACAUCUAGUCCAGCGCCCUACUCAAGGCAGGAGCAUCCCUGACUGAACCAGCCCAGCCAAGGGCCUGUCCAACCUGCUCCUGAAAACUCCCACAACUUCUCCAGGUGCCUGUUCCAAAUUGCGACCACCCUCCGAGUCAGAGCACUCCUCCUCAUCUCCACCCUGAAUUUCUCCUGCUGCAGCGUGAGACCAUUGCUCCCAGUCCUGUCCCCUACAGCCACAGAGAACAGCCCGUCUCCAUCCUCUCCAUUAUCGCCCUUCAGGUAUUUGAAGAUUGUCCCUCAAUCUUUUCCCCAGACUAAAUAACCCCUGCUCUUCCAGCCUGUCCUCACCAGUCUGGCCUCCCAGACCCCUUCUCAUUUUUGUUGUUCAGUGCUGGACUCUCCGAUCUGUUCACUUCCUGAAGCGUGGGGCUCGACACCAGACACGGGACCCCAGGGAGGCCUCCCCAGUGCUGAAGAGAGCAGAAGAAUCACAUCCUUUGGUGUAUACAAGUGAGUCUUUGUAGGAACCACACCACCAAUCUGUAUUUCAUCUGCAUCUUAAGAGUCUAUCUUCAUUGGCACAGGCCCUCCAGGAGCUGCAGCCUGAAGGGAACGCUGUGCACUACAAGACAUGCAGUGAUGCCGUGUGAUUUGCAAGCACCGGGGCUGGUCCAUGCUGUGGGGACGCUUGGGAACCUGAAUCCUGUGCCCAGGUCGGGUCCCCGCACCUCCAAAAGGAUAGAGAAGUACCCGAGAAGGGCAGCAAGGACGAUGAGCGCUAUGGAGGGGCUUCCAUGUGAGGAGACACUAAUGAGGCCAGGCCUGGCCAACUUAGACAAGAGACACUUGAAGGGGACAGGAGAAGGGUUUGCAAGACAUUAAAGGGUGAAAAGAAAGUCACUAGGGGUUUAUGAUUGACUCUCUCUUCCCAGACAAAAUUGAGGGGGGCACAGCAUGAAAUGAGCAGGCCGGCAGUUUAAAACUAGCAGAAAAAAGUUCUUUGUCACCCAGCAUGGCCCUAAAGUGUGGAGCUUGUUGCCACCGGAUGCGUUGGAAGCAGAGAGUUCAGCCAGAUUCACCAAGGGAUGACAAGUGCUUGGAGGAAAGGGGCAUCGGGAGCUAUUAGGCACAGGCGUGAGGGGCAUCAGACCUGUCUGGACCUUUAACGCUGGGGGCUGCAAGCGGGAGAGGGACAGGGGAGAAACCCUGGGCAAACCCAGCCACUGUCCCCUUCAGCCUCCUCUCUCUGCCGUGUGACACAGGAGCCCGGGCAAGAUGGACCUAGGGUCUGACCCAGCGCAUGGCAGGUCUGACGUUUUCCUGCCCCGUGACUCCAGUCCCUUUGGGUCAGGGUCUCAGUGCUGCAGCAUGAGCAGGCUCCAAGCCUGGUUUGCCUGGCAGGCUUCUGGCAUCAUUGCAGGAGGGUCAGGAAGGGUGAAGAGAGGAUCACUGUGUGGCCUGGAGCAAGGGCACUGGUGCUAGGUGGUGGCACUAAGGAUUCCUGGUGGCAAUGGCCGUGGGGGUGCUGAGGGGGAUGCUGGAAGCACUAGGGUCUGGCACGGGGUUCAGUGUGUAGAUGGCCAUUCAUCCUUGGGAGCCGGGGCCGGGGCACAUCUGAUCCCACGCUUGUUCUACAAGGCUGGCUAGCGUGGCUGCGGAGCUCCCCUGCUCUCACACCAGGGCAGGAAGGGGGGGUCCAAGGCAAGAGGGAGUUUACCUCUUUCUUCCUCCCCCUAGGCUUCCCCAGCAGGGUUGGUACUAUAUUUUCUCACAUGCAACAUGCCCUGGAAUAAGAGACGCACGUUGGGGCAAGUGGAGGGUGCACAAGGUGAGGACACAGAAAUGGAGGAGCUGUGGUAGGGGCCACAGGCACAGGGGUGUCCCCAGCACUGCUAUCUCUUGGGUCUUCUGUCUACCCCAGGGAGCAAGAAUGAUGAUUCCUUGUCAAAUCCAAGAAAAUGAGGGUUGGAGGGACCUCCGGAGGUCACAUCUAGUCCAACCCCCUGCUCCAAGCAGGAUCAUCCCCAACUACAUCAUCCCUGCCAAGGCUUUGUCUACCUGGGGCUUAAACACCUCCAAGGAUGGAGAGUCCACCACCUCUCUGGGUAACUUCCAGUAUUUCACCACCCUCCUAGUGAGAAAGUUUUUCCUAAUGUCCAACCUCAACUUCUCUUGUUGCAGCGUGAGCCCAUUGCUCCUUGUCCUGUCAUCUGCCCCCACUGAGAACAGCCCAGCUCCAUCCUCUGUGCAGCCCCCCUGCAGGGAGGUGAAGGCUGCUAUUCAAUCCCCCUCGGUCUUCCCUUCUCAAGACUAAAUAAACCCAGCUCCCUCAGCCUCUCCUCACCAGUCCUGUGCUCCAGCUCUGAAUCAUUCCUGUUCCCCUCUGCUGGACUCUCUCCCACUUCUCCACCUCCUUUCUGUAAUGGGGCCCACAGCUGGACACAGGACUCCAGAUGUGGCCUCCCCAGUGCUGAAUAGAGGGGAAGAAUCACUGCCCUCCAUCUGCCGGCAACGCUCCUGCCAAUGCAGCCCAGGAUGCCGGUCGCAUUCUUGGCACCAAGGGCACACUGCUGGGCGCCCUCCCCACAAACAAAAGAACAUAACGCAGGAUGUUAAAGCUACCUGCAAGUGGGUAAUAAAGCCAGAUCCCUGCCCCUGUGUGAGCCUCGACGACACCAACAAAUGAUGCCUGGCCAAGAAGCUGUCACCCCUCGGACAGCUUUGGGAUCUGUCACUAAUUGAGACAACGCUGAGAGGUCUCAGGUAUGUCAUUGGUGUUAACUUGAGCAUUUCAUCUCACAAAAUGAGUCCAGAUCCUCAGCUUACAAUUUCUGGCACCCUCUGAGCGUGGGAUGGGGGACAGGCAUUACAAGCAGCUCGUUAAAUUCAGGAGAGGCAAAGACAAUCUUGUCACAACCUGCAAUGAUGAUCUUUCUCCCUGGGGACCCUAGGUAGGGAGCCAAUGCAGGAGGUGCAGCAGGUUGCUUCUGCAGUGGGCAAAAUGGCUGGACGGGAUCAGGUAUCCCCCUGUUCAAUGCCGUCUUUUACAGAGCUCGUGCACCAAACAGCCUGUUGCUGUGAACGGAGCGGGGAUCCACCGCCGGGAUAUUUGCUGGCUCAGAAAGCAUGUUCUGAGCGUCUUUCCACCCGUGCAUGACCUGAAAGCAUCAUUUCUUUCUCUCUCUCUGCUCUUCGUCAGGGUUCAGCUCCCAGAGCUGCUCUGGCGGCCUGGGUUUCAGGCAUGCCAGUCACCAAGUACGCGUCCCAGGCCCAGGCGGGGUGCGUGCCUAUCUGAGCCGGGUGAGUUAAUGCCAGCUGGGGGAUGCAUGGCUGCAGCAGAAGCAUCUUUGCUCUUCCUCUGCUCGCCCCUUCGCUCCCAUGUGCAGCUGCCAGCAGAGCAGAUCCCUGCCCCUCCAUUUGCGUCCAGCCUUUAGUGAAGCUCCUACACCGCCACGAUCCAGACUCACGAGCAACUCAAGUGGCUUGUGCUUUGGGUGGUGGCUCCUUUCAUUUCACCAGUCACAACCACCAACGGGGCGCUUGAUUGUUCUUUGCCUCUGACAUCCAGGAAAAGUGGAUCCAGCACUAGGACGGAGUCGACAUCAUCAAUACAUUUCUUAUCACGGGCCCCACAUCUAAACCCCUGGCUUUACUUCACCGAGGCGGAGCUGGACACCGUUGACCAGGGGCUGUACUGCACAAGGUAGAUGUCACUACCUCCUCAUAACUGGGAUUUGAUUAAAGACCCCAAGUGCGAGCUUGGUGAAGUCCCAACUAUAGCUCACAUCACAGGGUUGGUUUUAAUCAUUUUAAUGGCUGCAAUGCAGACCUGCACAAGGUUACUGAUCAUGCUUUGCAAUGGAUCUCACAUCUAAAACUCACUCCAGCCGUACCCCUCAGUGCCGGUGUGUAUUGGUUUAUGGGUUGUUCUGUCAUGUGGUUGCUGUACAGUAGUCCAUACAAAUAAAUAAAAUCAUUGUUUCCUCAUCUC